GGAGUCACUGUGUAGCUGUCAGAGCUAAGGAGGCUCCCACGCCAUCCACACCAGCUUGAUGGGCUGCUGGGGAGAUAAGAAUGUUACUGUUUAUCCAUUGAGGCUCCUGGCAUAAAGAAGAGACUUGCCGAAAAGGCUGAGAAUAAAACCGUGUUCAGAUUUUUGGCAGUUUGGCAUGUUCCCGCCCUUCUGAGUCACAAUAGAGAAGAUUUCUGUUCUGUUUUCCCAGCCAGUUGUUAUUUGUGCUCAACUGUUCAAGAAGCGUGCCUCCC
rnacentral:lncRNA from 1 species